rnacentral:snRNA from 1 species
AAGUGAGGAUGAUAUAGCUGUAGCAUCUGAUAUCCCAUUGAUCUCCAGUGUUCAGUGAGAUGAUCUGAGUGGCUGGGAUGUUAUGCUUUCCCUCCCUCCCAGCUAAUGGCCAUCAUUCCUGGAGCUGACGCUGGGUAGAAGAGGAUAACCUUCUAUAAUGAGAGGAGCCCUUGCCUUAUGUCAUGCAGCCUAGUUGCUAGAACCUCCAAGUAAGAUCACAAAAGAAUAUGAAUCACAUGACCAUUCACACACUGUAUCUGAUACAUAAU